AUCGGAGCAUGCUAUCCAUUUAGGCGAGCACCAUGGUAAUUUGGGUGAUAGCACUUAAUAGUUCACAAGCAGCCGAAGGUGAACUCUGUGUUGACGAUGGUGGAAGGUUUGAAUUUCAGGAAGGGGCAUGCAUCCAUGAUCGUUUUGUAUUCUCAGAUUGGAAGCUCACAUCUCUUAAUAUGGCACCCGCUGCGCCUGGCCAAACCCAGUUUUCUUCUGAAUGUGUUGUUGAGAGGAUUAUUUUGUUAUAUGUGUGUGUGUGUGUGUGUGUGUGUGUAUUACAUCGUGAAUAACAAAAUUCAAUGGAAGUGAAUCUUUCUCCGUACAGUCUUCUUUGAAGAGAUGUGUUCAAAUUAUCUGAGUGUAUAAACAAACGCCUAUAUUCCA